AUUGAACGCUGGCGGAAUGCUUUACACAUGCAAGUCGAACGGCAGCACGGACCUCGGUCUGGUGGCGAGUGGCGAACGGGUGAGUAAUGUAUCGGAACGUGCCCAGUCGUGGGGGAUAACGUAGUGAAAAUUACGCUAAUACCGCAUACGAUCUAUGGAUGAAAGCGGGGGAUCGGAAGAUCUCGCGCGAUUGGAGCGGCCGAUAUCAGAUUAGGUAGUUGGUGGGGUAAAGGCCCACCAAGCCAACGAUCUGUAGCUGGUCUGAGAGGACGACCAGCCACACUGGAACUGAGACACGGUCCAGACUCCCACGGGAGGCAGCAGUGGGGAAUUUUGGACAAUGGGCGAAAGCCUGAUCCAGCCAUUCCGCGUGCAGGAUGAAGGCCCUUGGGUUGUAAACUGCUUUUGUACAGAACGAAAAGGUUUCUACUAAUACUAGGAGCUCAUGACGGUACUGUAAGAAUAAGCACCGGCUAACUACGUGCCAGCCGCCGCGGUAA
rnacentral:rRNA from 1 species